UAGGGGGAAGAUACACGAUGUAAAGUUAUAAAAAAAAAAUAAUAAUAAUUAAUUAAUUAUUCUGGCAAAAAAAAAAAUGAGUAUGCAAAGCUAAAGAGCCAAUUUUUUUGCACUCUUAAAAGCGAGAGACGACGUUGCUUUCUGUGUUGUCCAUGUCGAAUUUAUUCGUGGAAUAUCGAUGAUUCGAAGUUGGGAUCACCUGGAUAGUCGGAGUGGGGUCGUUGACCUCCGAUCACGUGACGCAGGCGGAAAACACUUGCGGUACAUUAAAUUUAUUAGCUUAGUCUUAAUUCCAUUUAUUAUCGUCUAAUCGAGACGUAAGUGCGGUUGAAAGUUAUCAGAAUCCGAUUUGUGACCAUUGAAUAUUCUAAAUGGGAUUAUGCGCAACUUCCAUUUUCCUUUUAACGUUGAGGGCACGUGAUUAAUCUACACGUGCACUUCCGACGUCAUGAAAAUGUUACUAUAGCAACAAUGUACCACGCCCGUGGAGAGAAAUCGGGGUAUAGAAGGGGUGUUACCACCUGUGCCGCUAUCGGGACCAAGCGUGAGAUUGGAUUCGAUCACGCCACCACCGAAAAAUAAUCUAAUUUGUACCUAUAUAAGUCGCUUUAAACGUGAAAAAAUAUGUCUGUUUACGUUAUUUAUAAUCUUUCAAAGCGUUUUAGCGAGGUUUUAUUUUCGAAUCUUGCAGUGUAGAGAAUAUGUUCGACUAUAAAGCGAUGAGUUUAGCAACCUAAUUUUUUUUUAAAGGAAAAAAAUAACAUUGAACCAAUACGAUGUUGCGUUAUGAUGCUUCCAAAAUAAGGGCACUUUUUGAGUCGUUGGCACGCACCAAUGACGUAAGCGGGGACACGUUUAAACAAACCGUACUGUGUGUAGUAGUGUUUAUAAAUAAAACCAAAUCACGUAUUGCCCGUUCGGUCGAAAUAAAAUAUGACGUAAUUCGAACGAUGAGUUCAGUUAUCUGACUUCAUCCUUUUGUCAGCUGAGCUAAUUUUUCCAGGGUCAACGUUUGGGUAGAGUCACCAGAGGCGUUGAGUCAACCCCGUUUUUGUUCCAAAGUUCCUCUUUUAAUUUUUGAACUUUUUUAAUAAAAGAAAAAAGAACGAAUUUUUCCCCGAACAAAACAAGGAUCCAGGAGUUAAUUUAUGCAGUGCAUCAGAAAUUCAAAUUAUGCGUUUUAACCUCGUUUAAACCAUGUGUAAAUAAAAAAGUAAGAAAAUAAUAAUAAAAAAAAAACAACUGCUUUUGUAAAAAAGUUGAUAGGUGUAACGAAGUUAACGGUGACCACGUUUUAAAAAUGCAAAUGUCAGAAAAGGAAACAAGACUAGUAAUGGCAUAUACGUGUUUUCGUGCUUAUUUAUUAAAGGAUUUACUCUUGGCUGAGUAUGUUUCUAUUAUGUAAAAAUUCUGACAUUUCUGUCGUCCAUUGUAGUGCUCCGGUGACGUAAUUAACGUCAUGUUUCGACGAUUCUUGUAAUGGUGUGCUCGUGAUGUUACGAGUAUCUCGUUAUCACGUAAAAAUCCGAAAUAGUAAUCCAGUGCAUUCUCUAACAACAUCCUAUUUUUUUUUGUGUGCGCCUUUGCGAGGGUGUCUCUUGUUACAUUAGUAUCAGAGUGCGUGGGUAGAUGGAGCCACGCGUAUUUUGAGACGAUGGGAACGUUAAAUCAACGCAAUUGUUCGAAGAAAUUUACAUUUCUGUUAACAACGCGAUGUCUACCCUCCUCCCCUCUUCUUUAUUUGUAAGUUCUUUAAAUGGGCAUUUUUGCGGAAUAUGUAAAAAUAAAUCUGCAUAUGUAGAUCAUCACGAAGUUCAUUAACAUUUUGAAAAUAACAAAUUUAUUAUUCAUGAAGUUGGUUUCUUAGAAAAUUCGCUAAAAAUUCUCGAAAAUAAUCUCCUGCCAUCUGUUGUAGAUGAACGACGUUACUGUUUCUAUCGAUUUUAGUCGGCUCCUCACUAGUAUACGAUAUCAAAAACUGGAGACGAAACGUAACAUUAACACGUAAUUCAUAAUUUUAACAAUAAAAUUUAACUGGUAUUGCAUCACAAACGGAAUGCUUUGUUGCAUAAGUCGCUGUAGAAAUUUACCUGCUGCUGCUGCUGCUGCGAGGGAGAACGAUGCAACAUUCUCAUCCCCAGGUUGCGGAUUAUUCUCCCUUAAAAAAAAAAAAACUUACUAGGGGACCACUAUUACCUGUCCGUCCAGUUUGUUUACCUGAGAGAAAUGACUCACCACCCUCAUUGCACAAAAGCCGUCGCACCUGGGACCGGGACCUUGGCGGGAAAAAUGCAUUUGUCUGUAUCCCGUGCCGUGGAAUAGUGAAGUGCAGUUUAUUUUUAAACCAUAGUUUCCGAUGAUUGGUAAGUUAUGUUUAAAACCGACUGCAGUAUUUAUAAUUAUUUUAUUUUUUAUUUCCUCUCCGAAAGCUAUGGUCUGUAAUUUAGUGCCCGUUUUAUCAAACAAAAUUGUUUAUUGUUUGAAAUUUAAUCUUUCCUGUAUUGCUGCAUGCCACAUUCUCGCUCUACUUGUAUUGUUUACAUGUCACUGAUUGUUUCCCCAUCGAUUGCUCCCAAAUAAGGUCUUUAUUGUUAAGAUACUUCCCCUGUUAUCGUGCAUAUUAAUUUAUUAUUAAUAUUUUUUUCUUUUAAUCUAUCUGUUUGUUCAUCGGAAGGAAUUACUGUAAUUAUUUUUCUUAAUUAUACCGUUUUUGUGGUUUUUUUCUUUCUAAUUAGGUCAAGAUUAACUCGAUUACUGAGAGAGAUGAACCUAUGUGCCCAUUUUCCUGUCAUAAAAAUGCUAUAACGCCCAUCCCUCCGGCUGAAUAACCCAUUCUGUUCGACUGUGUAAUAAUAUAAACGAAUUUAUACCCAAAGUUAAUGUCGGGGUGAACGACGACAUGAUAAAAAACCCUUUUGAUACACUUUUAUUAUAAAUAGAAGUUUAAUAACCUUUCGAAUGAAUUAUGACGCGUCGUUUCAUUGUUCGGAUGUGAGAAUUAUUGUUAUUAUUAUUAUUAUUUUUUACAG
rnacentral:lncRNA from 1 species